UAUUGUUUGGAUUAUUCAACCCGUGGUCCGAGCAGAUUUUUGUAAAGAGAAAAAAAGACCAUAGGAGGAGCACGGGCUCGCCUCCUCUCCCUCUCGCCCAAGUCCUCGUCGCUGCCGCCGCCACCACCACCCACGCUGUGGCAAUCUCCGGCGAGCUCCGGCGCCGCACAACACGCCCCAGAGCUCCCCACGGUCCGCGUCUCCCUCCCCUCGGGCCAGAUUCUGCGCUCCCGACCUCUACCGCCCGGUCGCAACGCCACCCCUGUGGCUAGGGUUUGGGGCAGGGCUUCACCGCCGCGUCUCCGGCGGCCCCGGGUUCGUCCCUCUUCCUACCUGGUCGGGAUCCACCACCCCUACACCUCACCUUCGAUGCCAUGGGAGUUCCCCAUCCACCAUGGUCGUCGCCGUCAAGGGCUUCUUCACGAAGAUGUGAAGGACGCCAUGGACCUGCAGCUCCUUUUCUCCUCCACCACGGACGCCGCCUCACCCUUUCAAGCCGCCAGGCACCCUACAAACGGGUCGGCCUACAGCUCCUCCGCUCCUCUGCCAUCUUGAGAUGCACCUGGAUCUGGGCGAUUUCAGGGCCUUCAUGGCUUUAGAAUCGGCCUCUCGUUCGGGAUCAGUUUGGAUCUAGGACAAGCCAACCAUGCUGCUGCGCCAAGCUCCUCUUGAUAUAGUUUACAUGAAUGCUAUCCUGGAGAAGGCAAAUAUCAGGAGCAAAUAAAAUCAAUCCCUGUACAAAUAAAAACACUCCCUGCAAUCUAUCAUUUUUUUGAGGAAUUAGCCACAUUAGAGUAGUUGAUACAUUGGAUGAGUAUUCAGAAGGUGCAGUCAAUUUGUCCUUUGGCAUCUAGCCCUCCUGUUGGUAUAAUAAUGCAAAUUGCCUUUUUUUUUAAAAAAUUGGUCCUUCAUUUCUUUUCUUCGAGUUAUCUGUGUAUCUUUUAAGCUUUUGCUAGGCGAGGAAAGGUGGACCAAGUAGUCUAGCAGAACCAAUUGCAUUUUUGGGGUAUUGGCUUCAGAUUGGAGUGGGAAGGUAUGGAUAUGUGUUCUUUCCACAAGAAGAACAAUGAAUACUACUACAAUCUUUUCUAGCAUGGUUUGUUCUCAGCCACGUGAGUUUUAUAAUCCUUCUAAAACAGUCACUUCCUUUCAUAUGAAUGCACUUUUAGCAGAUGAUAUUCUGACUGGUCUGCUAUAUUUUGUUCAUGAAGACGUUCAUGUUUACUCCCUGUUCAAUUCAAGUCUGAAAGAUUCAUAUUUGGGUAGACAGGUUUCACUGAUUGAAAAUAUUUGAGAUGCUCUUUUUGAUGUAUGGCAAUAUGCUAUCUCAAAUAUGGUAGACGAGGAAUACGGGCUCUUUUGAAGAUAAAUAAACUAGAUAAAAAAGAAUUGAAAUAGCCAAGCAAGUUUCAUUGCAUGUUAAUUAUAUGGUCUGCUGUACUGAACCUUUUUCUGCAAUUUUCUUAUUUGUUCUGCUUGAAAAAGCUAACACUGAUCUUUUGCUACGUUUUGUGUUAAUGAGUAAAUGUUUUGUACAGAAAAUCAGUGCUAGAGAUUAGAAUUGCCUCAUAUAUAAUACUCCAUCUGUCUCAUUAUAUAAGACAUUUUUUCACGAGGUAGUACCAAAUAUGCCUUUAUGUGCUUUCUUCAACAAGUCAAAUGUGUGACUGACCUCCACCCACCUCCCCAUUCUCAACAAGCACCAGGACGUGACUUCGGUUCUGCCAAGUAGGUUUUAAUAAACAAAUCCUUCCUAAAUUAUGAGCUGUUUUCUUACUGAGCAAACAGAAUGCCCAACAUUCCAAUUUGUGAUGUUAAGGCUAACAAGAGAUGCAUAUAUCAUAUUUAACAUACUAUCUGCACUCUUCCUAAUUUAGUUUUUUUUUGCUUGUCCAGAAAGAAUAAAUUGGUGUUUGAUUUGACUACAACCCUACGAUGUUUGCUCUGAAAGGCAUGUACUUUAAAAAAAGACAUGAUGUGCAUUUGCAUAGUUUGACAAAUUCCGAUCAAUGAACUGUAUUUUGUUUUCUGUUUUCAUUGUAACAUCAACCUUACGUGGUUCUUCUUAUCAAUGUUUGAACUGAAGUUAUACAAUAGAGGGCAUGUACUUGAUUGUUUUAGUGUCAAUAUAUUCAGAAGACAUGGAUCCAUCACAGAAGGAGUAGAGGAAGACCAUGGAAAGGAGGAGUUACUAGGAGCAGAAUACUGGGAGGAGGUGUUGUCGCCAGCCUCACGUUGAUGUGCGGUACUUGCGCCUCUCUGCUUCAUGUGGACACAGGCACCAAACUAGAACUUUUCCAUGUUGUUAUUUGGUGUUUAGAAAGUGUUUAUCUGUAAGCUACAUUAAUACACUAUAUAGUAGUCCCACAACGUUUUGCAUAUGAAUAGUUGUAGAAGAAACAUGAUAACAGGUUUCUUUUGUUGCUAACGUGUAGAGUUACUGUACAAAUGCAUUUUUGCUACAGAUUUACGGGUCAUUAUUUAGCUAUUUCGGUUCCUCCUUAUGAAUAGAUUUUUCUAUCUAUAUGGCGGAAGAUAAUAUAGACCUCUAUUUGUAAACAUCCAUAUAGUUUGUGGAAAAUGGAAAACCUUACUUUUUUUGUUAUCUUUAUGAAAAUACUAUUAUCUCUUUUUAGCCCUUUACUAUUACUUCCAAAAGAGUUCUUUUUAGUGACAUGCAACUUUCUCCUUGAUGAGCAAUGAUCUGGUUAUCUUGAUAAAGACUGCUAAUUCAGGUUAUUUGUAUGAAUAUUUUUAUCAAUUAUAAUUAAUAUUGUUUUGUUGCUUGUGGUAAGCCUCCCCACUUUGUAAUGAUCAAUAUAUAUGCCCGUACUUCAAGAAUUUGUUGUUAUCAGUGCUACAUUUGGUCUGCUGAUAUGCCAUGAAUUUUGCUUUAUUUCCAUUUUUCAUUUGAUGCAUGGAAGCAGUUUAUCUAUUUGGAUGAAUUAGUUUGACAAUUACACAGAAAUCUAUGUGCCACGAUGUUUAGAAUAGCAAGUUUUCUAAUUAACAAAUGACGGCAAGCUAAACAUUCAGCCUGAAACCACACGAAAGCUAAUAUAGAAUCUCAUUCUGCAAAGCUACCUUCCGAUGGGCAAUAACAACCGCACUGCAAGCACCGAAGCGAAUAUCUUGGUGCCUUUGGGGCAUCACAUCUAUGUUGCUAAUACUAUUUUUGAAGUUGUUGGCACGGUUUGGCCAGUUAGGCCUUGGGACCGGCUGCACUAUUAUUGCUGUUGUUGCGCUCAGUGGGCCAGCCCACUGAGCAUUGCCGAACAGAUUCUCAUUUUUCAAAUAAAGAAAAAGGAAGAGAAAAGAAUAAUAUCCCCUCAAAUAUUUUCUGAUUGAGCUAAAAAUUUCCAAACAUUAUGACUUUUAGACUAAGUUAAAUAAAUCAUAAAAUCUUUGUGGAUUCGAAAAAUGUUCGCAAUUCUGAAAAAAAAUGCUUGAGAAAUCAAAAAAUGUUCACGAGUUUUCAAAAAGUUCCUGUAUUAAAAAUGUUAAGCAAAUUGAACAAAUGUUCACCAAAAUAUUAUUGGUGAAGCAGCAAAGUAUGUUCAUGGCCUUUAGAAAUUAUGAUUUUUUUCUCCCGUUGCAACGCACGGACCUUUUUACUAGUAACAAAUAAAGAGAAUUGGAUUUCUGUCGUCCGUCGUCGCGACAGUUUUACAAAAAAGUCCCUAUGGUUUUAGAUAAUAGAACCCGCAGUCCCUAUGUAAGUGGAUCUAGCAAAACGAUUCAUUUUUGCACAUUAAUCCCUGCAUUUUGUAACAAUUUCGCCCGCACUCCUUUGUUCAUCUUAUCCAGCGGCAGAGAUGUUGGAAGGGGGGAGGCUGCUGUCGUCGACGAGCUCGUCGGCGCGGAAGGUGCCCGCCCCUCUCCUCCGCCUCCAGCAUCGCCGGAACCCUACAGGCCUUGCAGCCCUUGCGCACGCGCACGGACGUGGUCGAGGCAGGGGAUUGAGGAGGCAACGGACAGAGGCGACUUCAGCAGACAGACUUGGCGAGGCGGCGGAGGCGCAGGGAGUCCCUGCGGCACCGGAUCCGACGAGGAUGGACGCCGGCAACGUGGGCGAGGAGGAGGGCUCCGGCGGCAGAGAACCUCCAGGGGGCGACUGCUUGCAGUUCGACGUCGGCCUCCUGUAGGUAACAGAGAAAGAGAGAGUUGGUUUUUGUGAGAGAGAAGAGAAGAACGAGGGAAAGGAGGAGAAAGGGAGAAGGAAGAGAGGCAGGGCGGCCUGGAGGAGCUGUUGUUGCUGCGCUGGAACGAGGAGGAUGCACACGGGUCGGAGACGACGCGCGGGCAGGGGAGCUCCUACAUGGACGCCAUUGAGCUUGUGGCAAGGAGCAAUGACAAGCAGCAGCAGCAGCGGUGGCAAGCAGAGGCAGCGGACAACAGCAGUAGAUGGCAGAAACGGGAGGCAGCGGCGCCAACGGGCAGCAGAAGCAGAGGGCUGCUGCCACAACAGAGGUAUGUAUCCCCUUAAAAGCAGCAAGCAUCAGCCUUCUGUUCUUUGUGUUCUGUGUAUAGAUGUGUAGUACUCCCUGAUCAACAGAGGGAGUAGUAACCAAGAAGCAGCAGGAACAAAAUCGCAGCAGCAGGCUGCUGCUCUCCUCCCUGAUCCCCUGUAUAUGAAAUAGCAGUAGCGCAUGAGUGAAUGAAGCAAUCAAUUUCUGAAUUACAGACAGCGUACAGAUUUUCUGAAUCAAAACAAAAUCAAGCAUAUACUGUAGGUUGUUCUAUUGUUGAUCCAACCACAUGCUCUAUUUCUGCAUGCCAUGGAAGUUUUACUUUCAAAUCCUCUUUUUCUGCACGACAAUUGAAAAGAAUGCAGGAGUCGAAGAAUGAACAAAAUUGCUUUGAACUUCACAUCAGCAGACUAAAUUCCUAAUGGCAAAAACUUUUUAGUACUACAGGAUAUACCUUCAGAGUUUAUGACAGUUCUAAUAAACAUAUGAUGUUGAUUGGUUAGCUGAGUUAGAAGUAGAGCUAUUCAAAUAUAUUUACUUUGGUGAGUGCACAAAAUCCUUAUACUCCUAGCUAUAUGUUUAUCCUAUAUCUACUUCUCACAUUAUACAUAUGCUCCACUACAAAGGGGUCUAAAUAAUAGCAUGAUUUUUUUUCAGUUAAAGUUCCAAGCAACUUUCCUGUGUGAAUCUGAGAAUCUCACUAAAACCUGUGUUUCAUUGUGUAUAUUCAGCCUAUCGUGUCGAGUUUCAGACUGAUCAUAAACAUACCUCAGUUUAAGAUGUGAUGCUGAUUUGAUUUGUGUGCUGCACCAUCGUCCAUAUCUUCGAUUUCAAGCAGUUCAAUGGCAAAUCA